rnacentral:rRNA from 1 species
AGGAUGAACGCUGGCGGCGUGCCUAACACAUGCAAGUCGAACGUCCUGUCUCGCAAGAGGCAGGGAGUGGCGGACGGGUGAGUACCACGUGGGUCAUCUACCGUGAGGUGAGGAAUACCGGCGAGAAAUCGCCGACAAGACCGCAUAGGCUCGAUGCAAGUCGAGCAAAGCUCUUUCGAGAGAGGGAGCGCCACACGAGGAGCCUGCGCCCGAUUAGCUAGCUGGUGGAGUAACGGUUCACCAGGGCGACGAUCGGUAGCUGGUCUGAGAGGACGAUCAGCCACACUGGGAUUGAGAACGGCCCAGACUCCUACGGGGGGCAGCAGUGAGGAUUUUCGUCAAUGGGGCAACCCUGAACGAGCAACGCCGCGUGCAGGAGAAGGUUUUCGGAUCGUAAACUGCUUUUCGUCGGGGAAGAGAACGGACGGUACCCGAGGAAUCAGCCCCGGCUAACUACGUGCCAGCAGCCGCGGUAA